UUUUUAUAGUGGAUAUUUCUCGGAGUUUGGCCCGUGGUUUUUCCCUCUAAAUUUGGGAGGGUUUUCCACGUAAGUUUUGGUGUUCCGAUUGCUUGUGUUAUUUUUCAUAUUAUUCAACGACCGAGUAAAGUGGGAAUUAAUAUUUUAUUCCUAACAGAUGUGUGAUAGAUUGUGUCCUCCCAAUGUGGAAAAAAAUUCUCUCUUUAUAGGAGAGAGAAGACUUUGAAUUAUUAUUACCAAUAUGUUCGAAGGACGGG
rnacentral:lncRNA from 1 species